AUGUCACUUAUAAUUAUUUAUAUGUGGCUAAAAGAAAAAUGUGACUAUAACUAUUCUUUGGUCACGGCUUAGUCAUUUUACGUGACCAUCCACCCUCCACCUGCAAUUGGAACCCUAAUCCAUCACCUGCUACGAUAAGUUCAACUUCAUCGCUUAUCCAUUUUUGAGAAAAUUUUGAUAAUAUCCAAUAUCCAUUGUUCAUCAACAUCGGUUGAAGCUUGACUUGGUUUGGGUGUGCCAAGUUACUUUGGUAGCUACUGUUUUAAAUUUCAAGGUUUGUGAAUUUACUAAGUGAUGCAGAUGUGAUUUGUUUUGUCUUGAGGAUUUCGAACUUCAGUAACAUCGCCACGAGAAUACUUUAUUGGUAACAAGAUCAUUUGGUACAGGUACAUUAUUAUCACUCUUUGUGUAUUGUUUUAUGAAAGCCUAACAAUUUUUAUUAGCAACAAAAACCCUGGGUAGCCGGGAUCACCCAGCACACCCGCCUAGAGGAAACCCACAAUCUCCAAAAACUACAACUACAAACAUCUAGUUGGUUUUGCUACUGUUUCAUUGAUGGACAAGAGAGUUGAAGCCAUGUGAGAGUUCGAACCCACCACCAGCCAACUGUUAAAACUCCGGCUCGCUCUUGUCCCUUUUGUGCCUGAAGAUGUUGUUGUCUUUGUUGUUGGUGCCCUCUCCGGUGCUACUGCCAAAAUAAUUAUUGCCCAUCUUGACCGGAUUAAACUUUAUUUCAGCAGUCCAAGGUUUGGGUGAGUUAAAUAUGUUGGGGGAGGGGUAUGAUUAUUGGCAUGAAGUUGCUGCUUAGAAUGAAUAUUUAAGCAUGGGUUCGGUUUGGUUUGGUUUUAGUUUCCAACGGUUCAGUUACGGAAUCAAACCGUAAACACCCCUAGUGGGUAUGGUUAGUUGUAUUUGUUAUAGGUUGGAUGUGCUAAAAGGUUGCUGAUUGGGGUUGCUAUGGGGGAAUAGAGGUCAAGACUACUAGGAAGUUUGAAGAGAAAAUUUAUAUAUUAUAAGUUCGGUUAAUUUUUUUUAUUAUUGUUUCUCUGUUUGGGUGCUUUUAAGAGGUUAAUGAUUCCAUUUCUACCCCUCUUGUAAGGUAAAAAGAAUGUAGCAUAUCGUCCAUUUUUUUAUGAAUGGGUCGUUUGGGUUGUAUUCUUUUCUAACGGGUCAUAUGUAUUCUUUGUGUAGCGU
rnacentral:lncRNA from 1 species